UACGGGGGGGGUAAGCGUUGUUCGGAAUUACUGGGCGUAAAGGGCGCGUAGGCGGGCCGUCAAGUCGAGGGUGAAAUCCCCCAGCUCAACUGGGGAAGUGCCUCCGAUACUGGCGGCCUCGAGGGGGAUAGGGGCAUGCGGAACUUCCGGUGGAGCGGUGAAAUGCGUAGAUAUCGGAAGGAACACCGGUGGCGAAAGCGGCGUGCUGGAUCCCUUCUGACGCUGAGGCGCGAAAGCCAGGGGAGCGAACGGG
rnacentral:rRNA from 1 species